UUAUUUUAUUUUUAUAUAUAUUCAUAGAAUAGCUUGGAGGGAAUUUAUUUCAUAAAUCAGUUGGAAACCAUUCUAGCUUUGAGCAUCAUCUCCGUGCUGCUGCUUCUGCUUGUUAUGCUCACUUUAGGCUUACUUUUAUACAUCGUUUACCGUUGUCACACACACGCUAUCCACACAACGACAACGACGGCAACUCACACAAAAACUGUGACAACCACCAUUGAAACUCCGCCGGCCAGAGCGUAAAACCAUCAUGGCCUCCAACAACAGUAAAAAGCAUAUUCUGAUGCUUUACUUAAAUUUUCAUUAACACACACACACACACACACACACACACACAUAUAUACUUAUAUGUAUAUACGUGUAUAUAUAUAUAUAUAUAUAUAUAUAUAUAUAUAUAUAUAUAUAUAUAUAUAUAUAUAUAUAUAUAUAUAUAUAUACACACACAUAUAUAUGUACGUAUAUAUAUAUAUAAUCUUUUUCUUUUGCUUUUAACAUUUGUAUGAUCUUUAAUCGUUUUAAAUAUAUCUUAACUGCUUUUAUUUCAAUUUUUCUUUCGUGAAUUACUAAGAAAUUUUAUCUGCACUAAAGUAUUUCGUUCCCAAAAUCGUUCUGGUGAAUUCUUUAAGUUCUUCGUGACAAAACGAAAUUGUAAUGUCAUGCAUUUAUUUAUCACGAAAUGGGUGAAUGAAUGAAUGAAUAAAGGAAGGAAGGAAGGAAGGAAGGAAGGAAGGAACGAACGAACGAACGAACGGACGAACGAA